rnacentral:rRNA from 1 species
ACGACGCUGGCGGCGUGCUUAACACAUGCAAGUCGAACGGUGAACCAGAGCUUGCUCUGGGGAUCAGUGGCGAACGGGUGAGUAACACGUGGGCAACCUGCCCCAGACUCUGGGAUAACCUCGGGAAACCGAUGCUAAUACCGGAUACGACCACUUCGGACAUCCGACGGUGGUGGAAAGUUUUUCGGUCUGGGAUGGGCCCGCGGCCUAUCAGCUAGUUGGUAGGGUAACGGCCUACCAAGUCUACGAUCAUUAGGGGUUCUGAGAGGAAGGUCCCCCACACUGGUACUGAGACACGGACCAGACUCCUACGGGAGGCAGCAGUGAGGAAUAUUGGUCAAUGGGCGAGAGCCUGAACCAGCCAAGUCGCGUGAAGGAAGAAGGUUCUAUGGAUUGUAAACUUCUUUUGCAGGGGAAUAAAGGACGGUACGUGUACUGUUUUGUAUGUACCUUGCGAAUAAGGAUCGGCUAACUCCGUG